rnacentral:rRNA from 1 species
CCUGCCUCUGAGAGGGGAAUAACAUUCUGAAAAGAAUGCUAAUCCCGCAUAACAUAUAUUUAUCGCAUGGUAGAUAUAUCAAAGAUUUAUCGCUUAGAGAUGGACUCGCGUCCGAUUAGUUAGUUGGUGAGGUAACGGCUCACCAAGACCGCGAUCGGUAGCCGGACUGAGAGGUUGAACGGCCACAUUGGGACUGAGACACGGCCCAGACUCCUACGGGAGGCAGCAGUGGGGGAUAUUGCGCAAUGGGGGAAACCCUGACGCAGCAACGCCGCGUGAAGGAUGAAGGUCUUCGGAUUGUAAACUUCUUUUAUUAAGGACGAAGAAAGUGACGGUACUUAAUGAAUAAGCUCCGGCUAACUACGUGCCAGCAGCCGCGGUAAUACGUAGGGAGCAAGCGUUGUCCGGAUUUACUGGGUGUAAAGGGUGCGUAGGCGGCUUUGCAAGUCAGAUGUGAAAUCUAUGGGCUCAACCCAUAGCCUGCAUUUGAAACUGCAGAGCUUGAGUGAAGUAGAGGCAGGCGGAAUUCCCCGUGUAGCGGUGAAAUGCGUAGAGAUGGGGAGGAACACCAGUGGCGAAGGCGGCCUGCUGGGCUUUAACUGACGCUGAGGCACGAAAGCGUGGGUAGCAAACAGGAUUAGAUACCCUGGUAGUCCACGCUGUAAACGAUGAUUACUAGGUGUGGGGGGUCUGACCCCUUCCGUGCCGGAGUUAACACAAUAAGUAAUCCACCUGGGGA